GGAAAGGCUGUAGCUCAGUAGUAGAGCCUCUGCUUUGCAUGCAAAAGGUUCCAGAUUCAAUCCCCGCCAUUUCCA